rnacentral:rRNA from 1 species
GUUGCCUACGGGACGCAGCAGUCGGGAAUAUUGCGCAAUGGAGGAAACUCUGACGCAGUGACGCCGCGUAUAGGAAGAAGGUCUUCGGAUUGUAAACUAUUGUCGUUAGGGAAGAGAAAGGACAGUACCUAAGGAGGAAGCUCCGGCUAACUACGUGCCAGCAGCCGCGGUAAUACGUAGGGAGCGAGCGUUAUCCGGAUUUAUUGGGUGUAAAGGGUGCGUAGACGGGAAAAUAAGUUAGUUGUGAAAUCCCUCGGCUCAACUGAGGAACUGCAACUAAAACUAUUUUUCUUGAGUGCAGGAGA